UAAUAAUGAUAAUAAAUACAAUAAUAAUUACAACAAUAAUAAUAGUAAUAUUAUCACAUUGUUCUACAUAAAAAUAAGGUUUUUAUUGAAAUUUUUUCUUUGAAAAAUUUAAUUUUAGUUAUAAAUACAAAUAAAAAUAAAUAAUGCGAUUUUAUUGCAUUCAUAAUACAUUUAAAUGUAAUUUAAUGAAUCUCGACUUUGGCCGUCUGUAUGCACGCAUUGCACGCUAGGUAGGCACGCCCCUGCAUGUGGCGUGAAUCGCUACGAAUCGCGCAUAGUACGGCGCUAGCUUCACGUAGUACUUGCAUUGAAUUAGCGGCGCUCUACAACAGUUACUGUUCGCGGCGGAGAGAAUAGACGCGAUUACGUCUCCAUAUUAGAUUCGCGCGUAUGUAUCGUCGCGAAUCGGCGUCAAAAACUGGCGAUGGAGCAAAAGUAAUGCGGAUCUCUUACGCCGGAAGGACAUGGAUUGAGAUAUCGAGGCGCGUAAUCAGAAAGGUGGAAGGAGGAAGGAGAAGACAAGAUGGCGUUUGGGUGUUCGCUGUUAACGACACGGGAUUUUGAAUACGUUACCUUGUAAUUUUGCCAAUAAUCGUCGAGCUUUUCCGAGAUGUUUGGCGGUAAAGUAUCUCCAUUGAAUGGCUCAAUCGCGCGUGUUCCAGGCAAGAUUAAUAUCGAGAGCAGC